rnacentral:rRNA from 1 species
GGCCUAACACAUGCAAGUCGAGCGCGAAAGGGGGCAACUCCCCAAGUAGACCGCCGAACGGGUGACUCACGCGUGGGUGAUCUCCUUCGAGUGGGGAAUAACAGCGGGAAACUGCUGCUAAUACCGCAUGACUCCUCGAGUCGUAUCGGGGAUCAAAGCCGAGGACCGCAAGGCCUGGCGCUGAAGAGGAGCCCGCGUCCGAUUAGCUAGUUGGCGGGGUAAUGGCCCACAAGGCUUCGAUCGGUAGCCGGCCUGAGAGGGCGGACGGCCACACUGGGAUGAGACACGGCCCAGACUCCUACGGGAGGCAGCAGUGGGGAAUUUUUCGAAUGGGGGAAACCCUGACGAAGCAACGCCGCGUGGAGGAUGAAGGCCUUGGGUCGUAAACUCCUGUCGACCG